UAGGGAAUAUUAGUAAUGGGCGAAAGCCUGAACUAGCAACGCCGCGUGUGCGAAGAAGGCCUUCGGGUUGUAAAGCACUUUUUGAGAGGAUGAGGAAGGACGGUACUCUCAGAAUAAGUCUCGGCUAACUACGUGCCAGCAGCCGCGGUAACACGUAGGAGGCGAACGUUAUCCGGAUUUACUGGGCGUAAAGCGCGUGUAGGUGGUUUGGUAAGUAGGGCGAGAAAGCUCCUGGCUCAACUGGGAGAGGACGUUCUAAACUG
rnacentral:rRNA from 1 species